rnacentral:rRNA from 1 species
GACGAACGCUGGCGGCGUGCUUAACACAUGCAAGUCGAACGGAAAGGCCCUGCUUUUGUGGGGUGCUCGAGUGGCGAACGGGUGAGUAACACGUGAGAACCCGUCCUUGCCUUUGGGAUAACGUCAGGCAACUGGGGCUAAUACCGGGUAGGAGCCUCUGCUGCAUGGUGGGGGAUGGAAAGUUUCGGCGGUUGGGGAUGGACGCGCGGCUUAUCAGCUUGUUGGUGGGGUAGUGGCUUACCAAGGCUUUGACGGGUAGCCGGCCUGGGAGGGUGACCGGCCACAUUGGGACUGAGAUACGGCCCAGACUCCUCCGGGAGGCAGCAGUGGGGAAUAUUGCACAAUGGGCGGAAGCCUGAUGCAGCAACGCCGCGUGCGGGAUGACGGCCUUCGGGUUGUAAACCGCUUUCGCCUGUGACGAAGCGUGAGUGACGGUAAUGGGUAAAGAAGCACCGGCUAACUACGUG